rnacentral:rRNA from 1 species
GUCGAACGCUGGCGGCGUGCUUAACACAUGCAAGUCGAACGGAAAGGCCCUGCUUUUGUGGGGUGCUCGAGUGGCGAACGGGUGAGUAACCCGUGAGUAACCUGCCCUUGACUUUGGGAUAACUUCAGGAAACUUAGGAUCAUACCGGAUCGGAGCUCCUGCUGCAUGGUGGGGGUUGGAAUGUGUCGGCGGUUGGGGGUGGGCUCGCGGCUUAUCAGCUUGUGGGUGGGGUAGUGGCUGACCAAGGCUUUGACGGGUAGCCGGCCUGAGAGGGGGGACGGGCACAUUGGGACUGAGAUACGGCGCAGACUCCAACGGUAGGCAGCAGGGGGGAGUAUUGCACAAUGGGCGGGCGCGUGGUGCGGCGGCGCUGCGGUCGGGAUGACGGCCUGUGGGUUGUGAACCGCUUUCGCCUGAGACGGAGCGUUAGUGACGGUAAUGGAUAAAGAAGCACCGGCUAACUACGUG